UGGUGAACCAGCGGAGGGAUCAUUACAGAGUUGAAAAACUCCCCUAAACCAUUGUGAACCUACCACUAAACAGUUGCUUCGGCGGGUGGGCGCCCCCUCCCCAGGGAAGGGCCGCCCCGCUAGACCGCCCGCCGGAGGUACCCAAAACUCUUGUUUAACUAAAAGGCCUCUCUGAGUACUGUACUUAAAUAAGUCAAAACUUUCAACAACGGAUCUCUUGGUUCUGG
rnacentral:misc_RNA from 1 species